GACGAACGCUGGCGGCGCGCCUAACACAUGCAAGUCGAACGGAGCUUGCUUGUCAGAUCCUUUCGGGGUGACGAUUUGUAAGCUUAGUGGCGAACGGGUGAGUAACACGUGAGUAACCUGCCCCAGAGUGGGGGACAACAGUUGGAAACGACUGCUAAUACCGCAUAAGCCCACGGAACCGCAUGGUUCAGAGGGAAAAGGAGCAAUUCGCUCUGGGAUGGACUCGCGUCCGAUUAGCUGGAUGGUGAGGUAACGGCCCACCAUGGCGACGAUCGGUAGCCGGACUGAGAGGUUGAUCGGCCACAUUGGGACUGAGACACGGCCCAG
rnacentral:rRNA from 1 species